rnacentral:rRNA from 1 species
UACGUAGGGCGCAAGCGUUGUCCGGAAUUAUUGGGCGUAAAGAGCUCGUAGGCGGUCUGUCGCGUCGGCUGUGAAAUCCCGGAGCUCAACUCCGGGUCUGCAGUCGAUACGGGCAAACUGGAGUACUGCAGGGGAGACUGGAAUUCCUGGUGUAGCGGUGAAAUGCGCAGAUAUCAGGAGGAACACCGGUGGCGAAGGCGGGUCUCUGGGCAGUAACUGACGCUGAGGAGCGAAAGCGUGGGGAGCGAACAGG